rnacentral:SRP_RNA from 1 species
GCCGGGUGUGGUGGCUCACGCCUGUAAUCCCAGCACUUUGGGAGGCCGAGGCAGGUGGAUCACCUGAGGUCAGGAGUUUGAGACCAGCCUGACCAACAUGGAGAAACCCUGUCUCUA